rnacentral:rRNA from 1 species
CAGUAGCCGCGGGAAUACGUAGGUCCCGAGCGUUGUCCGGAUUUAUUGGGCGUAAAGCGAGCGCAGGCGGUUUGAUAAGUCUGAAGUUAAAGGCUGUGGCUCAACCAUAGUUCGCUUUGGAAACUGCCAAACUUGAGUGCAGAAGGGGAGAGUGGAAUUCCAUGUGUAGCGGUGAAAUGCGUAGAUAUAUGGAGGAGCACCGGUGGCGAAAGCGGCUCUCUGGUCUGUAACUGACGCUGAGGCUCGAAAGCGUGGGGAGCGAACAGGAUUAGAUACCCGAGUAGUCCCUGUCUCUUAUACA